AUCACGUUGAAACACCGGUUCGCGUACAAUCACCAAAGUUAAGCAAAGACGAAACUGGUCAGUAAUUAGAUGGGUGACCACUUGGGAAUACCAGGUGCUGUAA